rnacentral:misc_RNA from 1 species
AGCUCCUUUGAUGUACUUGAGAAUACGAAUAACUGCAUCCCAAUGGCUACUGCAUGGUACUUGGAGAAACUGACUAACCACACUCACAGCAAAAGAAAUGCUAGGUCAUGAGAUUACAAGAUAGUUGAGUUUAUCAACUAGUCUUCUACUCUUUCAGGAUUUUUUAAUGGCUCCCUUUGUCUAGGAACAAGUUUGACAUUCGGGUUCGUGGGAGUGUCUACAUGUCUACAAUCUAGCAUCCCAGUCUCCUCCAAUAUAUUCAAAGCAUAUUCCUUUGAGAAAUAGCAAUAUCUGACUUUGAUUGUGCCAAUUCUAUUCCCAAAAACUAUUUCAACUUCCCCAAGUCCUUAGUCUAAAAGUUACUAAACAAAUGCUGUUUGAGUUGGGAAAUUCCAUCAUUAUCAUUUCCUGUGAUGAUAAUAUCAUUAACAUAGACCACCAAAAAAAUGCAUUUGCCAUGACCAUCAUGUUGGAAAAAUACUCAAUGACCAGUUUGACUCUGAGUCACUCCAAACUAUUUAACCAUAGCAUUAAACCGACCAAACCAUGCUCUUGGAGACUUCUUAAGACCAUACAGAGACCCUUUAAGAUGACAUACCAAGUCGGACUCCCCCUAAUCAAUAAAUCCUAUUGGUUGCUCCAUGCAUACUUCUUCAGCUAGUUCGAUAUGUAAGAAAGCAUUCUUAAUGUCUAACUGAUGAAGAGUUCAGUUUUGAAUUGCAGUUAAGGAAAUGAGAAGACGAACAAAAGCAAUCUUGGCUAUUGGAGAGAAGGUAUCACUGUAAUCAAGCCCAUAUAUCUAUGUGUACCCUUUAGCAACUAACCAAGCUUUAAGCCUGUCAAUUUUGCUAUCAGGUCCCACCUUCACUGUAUAGACCCAUCUACAUCCAACAGUAGAUUUUCCCUGUGCUAGUGACACCAAAUCCCAAGUUCCAUUAUUAUGGAGAGCAGUCAUCUUCUCAUCCAUUGUAGCAUACCAUCCUGAUUGAUCCAAUGCUUCUCUAACAGUCUUUGGAAUAGGUACAUUAGACACAUUAGAGAUAAAAGCAUAGUAGGAGGGAGACAAACGAUGAUCACUCAAAAAAUUAUAAAUUUGAUGAGGAUUACAGGAUGAUUUAAUGCCUUUUCGAAUGCCAAUAGGAGGAGUGGUUGUUUUUACUGGUGGCAUGACCGGUAUUGGUGAUGGUGGAACUGGAGAUCAAUCACCAGGAACUGCUUCUGUUCCUGUAUCAUAUGAAGCAGUAUUGUGAAUAUUAGCAGGAGGAUGAGGACGACGAGAGUAGACAUGAAGAGGAGGUGGAAUAGCAGGAACUAGCAAGGCAUUAGGAAUGGGAUUUUUGUCUGCUGUGUUGGAUAAAAAGUAAGAAAACGUUUCAAAGAAGGUUACAUCUACUAAGACAAAAUAUCUAUUUAUAGUUGGAUCAUAGCAUUUUUAUCCUUUUUAAAGACGAGAGUAUCCUAGAAAGACACACUUUACUGAUUUAGAUUGGAGUUUGUCUUUGCCAGAAGUGUGAUCAUGAAUAAAACAUACACAUCCAAACACACAUAGAGUCAAUUGAUAGGAAUUCUGGUUUGGAAAUAAGACUAAAUGAGGACUUUGAUGCUACAAAAUGGAAGAUGGCAUUCUGUUAAUCAAAUAACAAGCAAUAAGAACACCAUCCCCCCAAAAAUUUAGAGGAAUAUUAUGGUGUAUGAGUAAGGUUUGGGCAGUUUCAAUGAAAUGCUUAUUUUUCCGCUCAACAAUCCCAUUUUGUUGAGGGGUAU